rnacentral:lncRNA from 1 species
ACCGCUUGUGAAGAUGGACGUGUCAAGAAAGCAGUGAAUCUAGCUGUGUGUGUGUGUGGGGGGGGUUUACUUUUUCUUUACAAAAAAAAAUCACAGCAAAUGGGUUUGAUUUAGCUGAGGUUGAUUGUGUUUGGUCGUUGACGGAAAUUAUUACUAUUUCGGAGAUGGGGUUUCUCUCUCCCCUCUCUAUCUCUCUCUCUCUCUCUGCUUUUAUUGCUACACCUGUCACUGCGCCACCGACACAAUUCUUUCCGCCAUUCUUGAAAACUGUUUGGGUGUGAAGAGAGAGAGAGGGGGGUUAGAGGUUUACCCCUGAGAUAAAUAUAAUGGCUAAUUGUGAUUACAAAAAUCCCCAUGGCUAAUUUGUAGGCAUAUUAAUUCCUCAAGGGGUAAAUUGUAAUAUAUUUAAGGGUAAAUUAAAAUCACCCCUAUGGUAC